rnacentral:rRNA from 1 species
UACGAAGGGGGCUAGCGUUACUCGGAUUGACUGGGCGUAAAGGGCGCGUAGGCGGUUUCUACAGUCAGACGUGAAAUUCCUGGGCUCAACCUGGGGGCUGCGUUUGAUACGUGCGGACUUGAGUUCGGAAGAGGGUCGUGGAAUUCCCAGUGUAGAGGUGAAAUUCGUAGAUAUUGGGAAGAACACCGGUGGCGAAGGCGGCGACCUGGUCCGAUACUGACGCUGAGGCGCGAAAGCGUGGGGAGCAAACAGG